AUUAUUUAAACUAAAUUUUGCUUUUCUGUUUGGAAACAACGUAUUCGUCCUUUGCACAGUUCGAAUUUGGCAAUAGUAAAUAAGUUUCUACUUUGAAAAUGUCUGUGGGUUCCCGAUCGUGGAAGGUAAUUAAGCCUCAUAUUCCACUUAUCAAGUUCAGAAAAGGUGGAAGGGACCAAGGUAUAAGUCAUAAACAGACUUCUGUUAGCCAGAAUUCAGCUUCAUGUAGUCAAAAAGGACCUGUAAUAGAUGAGACAGAAUUACCUGCUAGGUAUUCUAGAAAGCUUCUUUCUCAAGAAGAAAUUGAAACAAUAGAAAUUUAAAUUGGUAAUCUAAGAUGUGGAAAAAUCCAGAAUCACCGAAGUCCCAACAAUUCCGGAUCUCAGACUUUUUACUGUAUAUAAUAUUUUGAAUCUGGAAAAUAAACAAGAGAGGAGGUCCAGAAUAGAUUUAC
rnacentral:misc_RNA from 1 species